rnacentral:lncRNA from 1 species
GUCCAGUAUUCAAUAACAAAUCAUGUGAUGCAAUGAAACAAUGACAGUCUCGAUCCCUAUUUUAUCACCCUAUCUAAGGCUUUUAAUGUGUGGUUCUAUGCAGUAAAUAUACAUGUAACUAUGUAUUAUACAACAAAAAUGUUUAAUUAAAAAACAGAGAUAUGUCUCGAAUAUCGGCAUAAAUUCAUAAAAAAGACAAACUGAU